UUACUUUGUGUGUUUGCUUUGUGGUUCUGGGUCCCUUCUGAUUUUUGCAGAAUUACGGGGCUUUUUGUGAUUCUUUGCCUGUAUGUCAAAUUUAUCAAAGUUACAACCUUGCUGUUAAAGUGAUGGAGCAGGGUUUAGUUGAAAUGUAUGAUGGAAGCUCCCUGUGUGAGCAUGUGUCUGAAAAUGGCAGCAGUGGGCACGUAAGGGGUAGUCUGUUUCAAGUUUAGGGACAGUUUGUUAUAUUUCUGGAGCUUUUGCCUGUGUGUUUUCUGUCUGUCGAGUCUUUAGACCAUAAAGCCUUCCUGGCUUUAUGUCCUUGAAUUUACGUAUUAGAAGUAGGUUUAUGAGGGGUUGCCAGGUACGUUGUUUUUGGGAAACCGUGGGGUAUGGUUCCUUGAGUGCAUAAGUGCAGUAGUGCCAAGAGAGUGAGCAGGGCCACCUUCUUCAUCUCUGCAGAAUAAGUCUGUUCGGGCACACUUCUCAGGUAAACGUAGUGAGCAGAUGAGGUAAAGGAGCUGGGAACAGAGAGGUAUUGCACAGUAGCAUGUUGCAUCAGUAGUAGUCAGCGUUGCGGAGGAGGUGGGUGUCAGGGCUGGCGUGCUAGUGAAUGCUGGUUCUCUGUUUUUGCAAGUGAUGAUGAACCUGUUUGACGUAAUUCCAUUUGAAAAAGUUCCAGUUACUGUCGGCUGUGGUUAUGAGGUGCCUCAGGAUGUGCUUAUUUUCUUGUUUCCGCCCUUCCCUCGUGCAGCCUUGGAGAGAUGAAGUCCCCAUGGUGUGGAGUGGUGCAAAAAGAGGAAUGGUCCAACAAUUCGGGUUAAUAGGGGACAAGAGAACAAAGGGGUUUCAGAAUAACUGCUAACUGUUAUGACUAUUGCAUGGGGCACUAUGCAAGUCUCUGACAUCCAGCCAAGAUGGACAAAGGAGAAGGACAAGGGAAAAGCCUGGGAGGAAGACUAUGAGCCUUCAGUACGAGAGACCCGCAGAGGGACCACCAGAGACUGGUAACACAUGCGCCAGUGGGCGGGUUCGGAUUCCAGGAACUAGUUAUAAUAACCCUGCCUUUUCUAGAAGUAGUAAUGAAUAUGUAUUAGCCUAGGAGCAUAAAAACCAGCCGCCUGC